GAUGAACGCUGGCGGCGUGCCUAAUACAUGCAAGUCGAGCGAAUGGAUUAAGAGCUUGCUCUUAUGAAGUUAGCGGCGGACGGGUGAGUAACACGUGGGUAACCUGCCCAUAAGACUGGGAUAACUCCGGGAAACCGGGGCUAAUACCGGAUAACAUUUUGAACCGCAUGGUUCGAAAUUGAAAGGCGGCUUCGGCUGUCACUUAUGGAUGGACCCGCGUCGCAUUAGCUAGUUGGUGAGGUAACGGCUCACCAAGGCAACGAUGCGUAGCCGACCUGAGAGGGUGAUCGGCCACACUGAGACUGAGACACGGCCCAGACUCUGACGGGAGGCAGCAGUAGGGAAUCUUCCGCAAAGGACGAAAGUCUGACGGAGCAACGCCGCGUGAGUGAUGAAGGCUUUCGGGUCGUAAAACUCUGUUGUUAGGGAAGAACAAGUGCUAGUUGAAUAAGCUGGCACCUUGACGGUACCUAACCAGAAAGCCACGGCUAACUACGUGCCAGCCGCCGCAGUAA
rnacentral:rRNA from 1 species